rnacentral:rRNA from 1 species
UACAGAGACUGCAAGCGUUAUUCGGAUUCACUGGGCGUAAAGGGUGCGCAGGCGGCCAAGUGUGUGAGGCGUGAAAGCCCGGGGCUUAACUCCGGAAUUGCACCUCAAACUACAUGGCUAGAGCAUUGGAGAGGGUAGCAGAAUUCACGGUGUAGCAGUGAAAUGCGUAGAUAUCGUGAGGAAUACCAGAGGCGAAGGCGGCUACCUGGACAAUUGCUGACGCUCAGGCACGAAAGCGUGGGGGGAGCAAAAGGG